rnacentral:rRNA from 1 species
UACAGAGGGGGCAAGCGUUGUUCGGAAUUACUGGGCGUAAAGGGCGCGUAGGCGGCCUUCUAAGUCAUGCGUGAAAUCCCCGGGCUCAACCCGGGAACUGCGUCUGAUACUGGAAGGCUUGAAUCCGGGAGAGGGAUGCGGAAUUCCAGGUGUAGCGGUGAAAUGCGUAGAUAUCUGGAGGAACACCGGUGGCGGAGGCGGCAUCCUGGACCGGCAUUGACGCUGAGGCGCGAAAGCCAGGGGAGCAAACGGG